UACGGGGGGGGCAAGCGUUGUUCGGAAUUACUGGGCGUAAAGGGCUCGUAGGCGGCCAACUAAGUCGGAUGUGAAAUCCCCAGGCUUAACCUGGGAACUGCAUCCGAUACUGGAUCGCUAGAAUUGUGGAGAGGUAAGUGGAAUUCCGAGUGUAGAGGUGAAAUUCGUAGAUAUUCGGAAGAACACCAGUGGCGAAGGCGACUUACUGGACACAUAUUGACGCUGAGGUGCGAAAGCGUGGGGAGCAAACAGG
rnacentral:rRNA from 1 species